rnacentral:rRNA from 1 species
ACUGCUCAGUAACACGUAGUCAACAUGCCCAGGGGACGUGGAUAACCUCGGGAAACUGAGGAUAAACCGCGAUAGGUCAUAAUAUCUGGAAUGAUUUCUGGCUGAAAUCUAUAUGGCCCCUGGAUUGGACUGCGGCCGAUCAGGCUGUUGGUGAGGUAAUGGCCCACCAAACCUAAAACCGGUACGGGCUCUGAGAGGAGAAGCCCGGAGAUGGGCACUGAGACAAGGGCCCAGGCCCUAUGGGGCGCAGCAGGCGCGAAAACUCUGCAAUAAGCGAAAGCUUGACAGGGUUAUUCUGAGUGAUUUCCGCUAAGGAAAUCUUUUGGCACCUCUAAAAAUGGUGCAGAAUAAGGGGUGGGCAAGCCUGGUGUCAGCCGCCGCGGUAAUACCAGCACCCCGAGUGGUCGGGACGAUUAUUGGGCCUAAAGCAUCCGUAGCCGGUUCUACAAGUCUUCCGUUAAAUCCACCUGCUUAACAGAUGGGCUGCGGAGGAUACUAUGGAGCUAGGAGGCGGGAGAGGCAAGCGGUACUUAGUGGGUAGGGGUAAAAUCCGUUGAUCCAUUGAAGACCACCAGUGGCGAAGGCGGCUUGCCAGAACGCACUCGACGGUGAGGGAUGAAAGCUGGGGGAGCAAACCGGAUUAGAUACCCGGGUAGUCCCAGCUGUAAACGAUGCAGACUCGGUGAUGAAUAGGCUUCGUGCCUCUUCAGUGCCGCAGGGAAGCCGUUAAGUCUGCCGCCUGGGGGAGUACGGUCGCAAGACUGAAACUUAAAGGAAUUGGCGGGGGAGCA